rnacentral:rRNA from 1 species
UACCUGAGCCACGAAUGGUGAUCAUUUUUAUUGGGUCUAAAGUGUCCGUAGCCGGCUUAGCAAGUUUCUGGUGAAAUCUGGCAGCUAACUGUCAGGCGUGCUGGAAAUACUACUAGGCUUGAGAUCGGGAUAGGAUAGGGGUAUUCCACGUGUAGGGGUUAAAUCCUUUGAUCCGUGGAGGACCACCGGUGGCGAAGGCGCCUAUCUGGAACGAGUCUGACGGUGAGGGACGAAAGCCAGGGGAGCAAAUGGGAUUAGAUACCCCAGUAGUCCUGGCCGUAAACGAUGUCCGCUUGGUGUUGCUUGCCUUACGAGGGUAUGCAGUGCCGGAACGUAGGUGUUAAGCGGACCACCUGGGAAGUACGGUCGCAAGGCUGAAACUUAAGGGAAUUGGCGGGGAGCACACAAGGGGUGGAGGCUGCGGUUC